rnacentral:rRNA from 1 species
AGAGUUUGAUCCUGGCUCAGGAUGAACGCUAGCGGCAGGCCUAAUACAUGCAAGUCGAGGGAGAAGUUUGGUGCUUGCACUAGAUGGGAACCGGCGAACGGGUGCGUAACACGUAUGCAACCUACCUAUAACAAAGAGAUAGCCCGAAGAAAUUCGGAUUAAUACCUUAUAAUAUUUUAAUCUCGCAUGAGAUUAUUUUUAAAGCUCCGGCGGUUAUAGAUGGGCAUGCGGCCUAUUAGUUAGUUGGUGAGGUAAUGGCUCACCAAGACUACGAUAGGUAGGGGGUCUGAGAGGAUGAUCCCCCACACUGGUACUGAGACACGGACCAGACUCCUACGGGAGGCAGCAGUAGGGAAUAUUGGACAAUGGACGCAAGUCUGAUCCAGCCAUGCCGCGUGCAGGAAGACGGCCCUAUGGGUUGUAAACUGCUUUUAUACAGGAAGAAACCUCCUCACGU